CAUUGUUGGAGAGUUUGAUCCUGGCUCAGGACGAACGCUGGCGGCGUGCUUAACACAUGCAAGUCGAACGCUGAAGCACUUUCGGGUGUGGAUGAGUGGCGAAC
rnacentral:rRNA from 1 species